AACGAACGCUGGCGGCAUGCCUAACACAUGCAAGUCGAACGAGACCUUCGGGUCUAGUGGCGCACGGGUGCGUAACGCGUGGGAAUCUGCCCUUGGGUUCGGAAUAACUCAGAGAAAUUUGAGCUAAUACCGGAUGGUGACGAAAGUCCAAAGAUUUAUCGCCCAGGGAUGAGCCCGCGUAAGAUUAGCUUGUUGGUGGGGUAAUGGCCUACCAAGGCGACGAUCUUUAGCUGGUCUGAGAGGAUGAUCAGCCACACUGGGACUGAGACACGGCCCAGACUCCUACGGGAGGCAGCAGUGGGGAAUAUUGGACAAUGGGCGCAAGCCUGAUCCAGCAAUGCCGCGUGAGUGAUGAAGGCCUUAGGGUUGUAAAGCUCUUUUACCAGGGAUGAUAAUGACAGUACCUGGAGAAUAAGCUCCGGCUAACUCCGUG
rnacentral:rRNA from 1 species